rnacentral:rRNA from 1 species
CUACGGGCCGCACCAGUGAGGAAUAUUGGUCAAUGGGCGCGAGCCUGAACCAGCCAUCCCGCGUGCAGGAUGACGGCCCUAUGGGUUGUAAACUGCUUUUCUAUGCCAAGAAACCUGAUUACGUGUAAUCAGUUGCCGGUAGCAUAGGAAUAAGCAUCGGCUAACUCCGUGCCAGCAGCCGCGGUAAUACGGAGGAUGCAAGCGUUAUCCGGAUUCAUUGGGUUUAAAGGGUGCGCAGGUGGGCUUGUAAGUCAGUGGUGAAAUGCUGCCGCUUAACGGUAGAACUGCCAUUGAUACUGCGAGUCUAGAGUAUGGUUGAGGUAGGCGGAAUGUGUUGUGUAGCGGUGAAAUGCAUAGAUAUGACACAGAACGCCAAUUACGAAGGCAGCUUACUAAGCCAUUACUGAUGCUGAGGCACGAAAGCGUGGGGAGCGAACAGGAUUAGAUACCCGCGUAGUC